rnacentral:rRNA from 1 species
GUUUAUAAUUUAAAGUYUAAUCUGCUCCAUGAAUUUAUUAAAUAGCUGCAGAAUUUUWACUGUMCAAAGGUAGCAUAAUCAAUAGUUUUUUAAUUGAAAGCUGGAAUGAAYGAUUUGAUAAAGUAAAUAUUGUCUCAUAUUAMAUAAUUUUAGAACUUUUUUUUUUGUUAAAAAACAAAAAUGAAUUUAAAAGACSAGAAGACCCUAWAGACUUUAAUAUUUUUAUAUUAAUAAAAUUAAAAUUAAUUAAUAAAUUUUAAUAAAAAAAUAUUUGAUUGGGGAAAUUAUUAAAUUUAAUAAAUUUUAAUAUAAUAAAAACAAUAAUUAUUGAAUAAUAGAUUUUAAAUAAAAAUUAUAAGAAUAAAGUACCUUAGGGAUAACAGCGUAAUUUUUUUGGAGAGAUCUUAUUUAUAAAAAAGUUUGCGACCUCGAUGUUNGAAUUAASAUAAAGUUUUAUUGGAGAAAAUAAAAAWUUUUGGWCUGUUCSACCAUUAAAAUCUUACCGGAUCUGAGGUCAAACCGGACAACGAUUAAAGUCCUACGUGAUCUGAGUUCAGACCGG